AUGAAGACAGAGAUUUGUAUAAUUGUUUUGUUCAAUUAUGUGUGGAAGUAACUCUAUACGAGGUAUAUUAGCAUUAUUCAAUUUGUAAGGUGUGGCUACUGUUUCAUAGACAACUAUUUGGGUAGAUGGCGAUCCUUCAGUUUGUUCUGAAGCUUUUGGUACCGUAGUUGCCAUCCCUUGUAUUUUCAGACUUUGUUCUGGAGGGUGUAUGG
rnacentral:lncRNA from 1 species